AGACGGCAGUCGGAAAGCAGAGGUGACCGACAGACACAGUCAAGAAGCAAAGAGAAGAAUGGAAGGAAUAGAAUAGAAUAGAAUCCUUUAUUGUCCCCGAGGGGCCACAAAAACUUUCAGUAGCAUCCACAAAAUAUAGGACAGACAUCAUACAAAGGUGACAAGAGAAGAAGAAUAACAAUAUACAAUAUCCACAGUGUUCGGUAGCAAGAGGGCAAAUAUACAAGAUUACAGUACAGCAGAGGAAAGAGUGUGUGUAGAGGUGCAUGUGUAUGCGUGUGUAUACAGUGUGUGUGUGUGUGUGUGUGUGUGUGUGUGUGUGUG